rnacentral:rRNA from 1 species
GACGAACGCUGGCGGCGUGCUUAACACAUGCAAGUCGAACGGAAAGGCCCUGCUUUUGUGGGGUGCUCGAGUGGCGAACGGGUGAGUAACACGUGAGUAACCUGCCCUUGACUUUGGGAUAACUUCAGGAAACUGGGGCUAAUACCGGAUAGGAGCUCCUGCUGCAUGGUGGGGGUUGGAAAGUUUCGGCGGUUGGGGAUGGACUCGCGGCUUAUCAGCUUGUUGGUGGGGUAGUGGCUUACCAAGGCUUUGACGGGUAGCCGGCCUGAGAGGGUGACCGGCAACAUGGGAAUGAGGAUACGCCCAGACUCCUACGGGAGGCAGCAGUGGGGAAUAUUGCACAAUGGGCGGAAGCCUGAUGCAGCAACGCCGCGUGCGGGAUGACGGCCUUCGGGUUGUAAACCGCUUUCGCCUGUGACGAAGCGUGAGUGACGGUAAUGGGUAAAGAAGCACCGGCUAACUACGUG